rnacentral:rRNA from 1 species
AUUGAACGCUGGCGGCAGGCCUAACACAUGCAAGUCGAACGGUAGCACAGAGAGCUUGCUCUCGGGUGACGAGUGGCGGACGGGUGAGUAAUGUCUGGGAAACUGCCCGAUGGAGGGGGAUAACUACUGGAAACGGUAGCUAAUACCGCAUAACGUCGCAAGACCAAAGUGGGGGACCUUCGGGCCUCACACCAUCGGAUGUGCCCAGAUGGGAUUAGCUAGUAGGUGGGGUAAAGGCUCACCUAGGCGACGAUCCCUAGCUGGUCUGAGAGGAUGACCAGCGACACUGGAACGGAGACACGGUCCAAACUCCUACGGGAGGCAGCAUGGGGGAAUACUGCACAAUGGGCGCAAGCCUGAUGCAGCCAUGCCGCGUGUAUGAAGAAGGCCUUCGGGUUGUAAAGUACUUUCAGCGGGGAGGAAGGCGGUGAAGUUAAUAACUUCACCGAUUGACGUUACCCGCAGAAGAAGCACCGGCUAACUCCGUGCCAGCCGCCGCGGUAA